GACUGGGCAUCGGGCAAUUACCUAACUUUGUACAGUGAAACACCCUCCACAUUGCGACCGCAUUUUUAUUACUUUCUCCUUGUUUAUUGGCUUCCUUUUACUUGGCCAAUCCAAACCCAUUCAUUGUAUAGGAAGCUUUUUGGUUCCUUUCCUUGCUAAUUAAGGACUCCAGUCCAGGAAAAACCUAUAAAAGAUUUUGUGGCCACUUGCGCUUUACCUAUCUGGAUUAUGAAUUCAAACCUGAGCUGAAGGGCAUAAUUUCUUGCAGUUAUAUAGAUAUUGGCAGACCCAUUUUGAGUAUAACCCUAUCACCAAUACUGCCUAAGAGAUUUCAAAGAAUCCUACAAACAAAUUUUCCAGAAAAUGUUAAAAGCCCAGUGGCAUGAAAAGUAAAUAAACAACAUUUCUUUGGAUAGGACGGUAACAGAAAUCUCAUCAUCCCCUUGAAAAGAGACAACUUCUUCAAGAAAUAUAUCAAUUAUCAAAGUCUUAACGAGUCACUUUUCCACUCAUGCACUUUUUUUUAUUGCUUUCUUCCGCCCAAAAUUAAAUAUUUCAAUCCCAAGACUAAAACUUUAUGCACAUCAACGUAUUGAAACAAUGAAGCCAAUCCCCUUUCAGCUUGGGAUUUGGGAAUCAAGGCAAAGAAUCAGUCUUUUUCUCUUGAGUAAGAAGGUCAGAUAGGCUUGUUUGUUAUAGGCUGUUCUUUUAUCCACAGUGCUUCCGGAGAAGAUGGAUUUUCAGGUCUCCGGUAAAGAAUGGAAAUGGACUGAGAUGGAUCUUUAGAAAUACGUGGGCUUUCCUUCCCUUAUCGGUGAGAAGAAAGCUAUUUUGACAGAACUGCCUAAUUAAUUAUGUUAUGAGUGUGUUAUUGUUAGCUGUAUGUUCUACUCUAUAACGAUUAUGAAUACUCUUAAGUGUAGCUGUAUGUUCUUGUUAGAUUUCGGGGUACUUCAAAGUUAAUUACUUACUAAGCUGCCCAUUUGAUUAAUAUAAAUCAGUAAUUAAGCAA